AGAGUUUGAUCAUGGCUCAGAGUGAACGUUGGCGGCGUGGAUUAGGCAUGCAAGUCGUGCGGAAAGGCCCCGCAAGGGGUACUCGAGCGGCGAAAGGGAUAGUAACACGUAGGUACCUACCUGGGGUCGGGGAUAGCCGCGGGAAACUGCGAUUAAUACCCGAUGAUGUCGAGAGACCAAAGGUGUGAUUCCGCCCUUAGAGGGGCCUGCGUCCUAUUAGCUAGUUGGUGAGGUAACGGCCCACCAAGGCUGAGAUGGGUAGCGGGUGUGAGAGCACGACCCGCAUCACUGGGACUGAGACACUGCCCAGACACCUACGGGUGGCUGCAGUCGAGAAUCUUCGGCGAUGGGCGCAAGCCUGACCGAGCGACGCCGCGUGCGGGAUGAAGGCCCUCGGGUUGUAAACCGCUGUCGUAGGGGAGGAAAUGCCGGUGGGUAAUCUCAUCGGUUUGACCUAUCCUAGGAGGAAGGACGGGCUAAGUUCGUGCCAGCAGCCGCGGUAAUACGAACCGUCCAAACGUUACUCGGAAUCACUGGGCUUAAAGGGUGCGUAGGCUGCGCGGAGGGUGGGAUGUGAAAUCCCCCGGCUCAACCGGGGAAUAGCGUCCCAAACCGCCGUGCUCGAGGGAGACAGAGGUGAGCGGAACUGAUGGUGGAGCGGUGAAAUGCGUUGAUAUCAUCAGGAACACCAGUGGCGAAGGCGGCUCACUGGGUCUUUCCUAACGCUGAGGCACGAAAGCUAGGGGAGCGAACGGGAUUAGAUACCCUAGUAGUCC
rnacentral:rRNA from 1 species